GGUGAGUUUGGGGAAACUCAGUGUGUAAGGAAAACCCAUUCAAAGCCCAAGUCAGCUCAAGCCCAUUGGGCCUAAGCCCAUUCAGGUAACAGUGGUACUGGGCCAGAGCCCUUUUCAGAUUACAAUAAACUGGGCCUUAGCCCCUUAUUCAGAUAACAGUAUGGCCUAUAGGCCCAUUUCAAAAUACAUGCAACAUCAGUAAACAUAUGCAAGCCCAUUU
rnacentral:lncRNA from 1 species